rnacentral:rRNA from 1 species
AUUGAACGCUGGCGGCAGGCCUAACACAUGCAAGUCGAACGAGUGGCGGACGGGUGAGUAAUGUCUGGGAAAAUGCCUGAUGGAGGGGGAUAACUACUGGAAACGGUAGCUAAUACCGCAUACCAUCGGAUGUGCCCAGAUGGUAUUAGCUAGUAGGUGGGGUAACGGCUCACCUAGGCGACGAGCCCUAGCUGGGCUGAGAGGAUGACCAGCAACACGUGAACUGAGACACGGUCCAGAUUCCUACGGGAGGCAGCAGUGGGGAAUAUUGCACAAGGGGCGCAAGCCUGAUGCAGCCAGGCCGCGUGUAUGAAGAAGGCCUUCGGGUUGUAAAGUACUUUCAGCGGGGAGGCGUUACCCGCAGAAGAAGCACCGGCUAACUCCGUGCCAGCCGCCGCGGUAAUAC